rnacentral:rRNA from 1 species
GACAGAGGUUGCAAACGUUGUUCGGAAUUACUGGGCAUAAAGCGCACGUAGGCGGUUCGUUAAGUCAUGUGUGAAAUCCCUCGGCUCAACCGAGGAAUUGCGCCUGAUACUGGCGGGCUAGAGAUCGAUAGGGGUGAGUGGAACUCCAGGUGGAGCGGUGAAAUGCGUAGAUAUCUGGAGGAACACCGGUGGCGAAGGCGGCAUCCUGGACCGGCAUUGACGCUGAGGCGCGAAAGCUAGGGGAGCAAACGGG